CCUGGCUCNGGANGAACGCUAGCGACAGGCUUAACACAUGCAAGUCGAGGGGCAGCGGGGAGGUAGCAAUACUUCCGCCGGCGACCGGCGCACGGGUGAGUAACACGUAUGGAACCUGCCCGUAGCAGGGGGAUAAGCGGAAGAAAUUCCGUCUAAUACCGCGUAAUAACUCCGAGGGGCAUCCCUUGGGGUUUAAAGGGUAACACCGGCUACGGAUGGCCAUGCGGCGCAUUAGCUAGUUGGCGGGGCAACGGCCCACCAAGGCGACGAUGCGUAGGGGUUCUGAGAGGAAGGUCCCCCACACUGGUACUGAGACACGGACCAGACUCCUACGGGAGGCAGCAGUGAGGAAUAUUGGUCAAUGGGCGCGAGCCUGAACCAGCCAAGUCGCGUGAGGGAAGACGGUCCUAUGGAUUGUAAACCUCUUUUGUCGGGGAGCAAAAGACGCCACGCGUGGCGUUCCGAGAGUACCCGAAGAAAAAGCAUCGGCUAACUCCGUGCCAGCAGCCGCGGUAAUACGGAGGAUGCGAGCGUUAUCCGGAUUUAUUGGGUUUAAAGGGUGCGCAGGCGGAAGAUCAAGUCAGCGGUAAAAUUGAGAGGCUCAACCUCUUCGAGCCGUUGAAACUGGUUUUCUUGAGUGAGCGAGAAGUAUGCGGAAUGCGUGGUGUAGCGGUGAAAUGCAUAGAUAUCACGCAGAACUCCGAUUGCGAAGGCAGCAUACCGGCGCUCAACUGACGCUCAUGCACGAAAGUGUGGGUAUCGAACAGGAUUAGAUACCCUGGUAGUCCACACAGUAAACGAUGAAUACUAAUUGUUCGGGGAGAAUGAUCCCUGAGUGAUACAGCGAAAGCGUUAAGUAUUCCACCUGGGGAGUACGCCGGCAACGGUGAAACUCAAAGGAAUUGACGGGGGCCCGCACAAGCGGAGGAACAUGUGGUUUAAUUCGAUGAUACGCGAGGAACCUUACCCGGGCUCAAACGACACAGGAAUACUUUUGAAAGGAGGUAGCUCUUAGGAGUCUGUGUCGAGGUGCUGCAUGGUUGUCGUCAGCUCGUGCCGUGAGGUGUCGGCUUAAGUGCCAUAACGAGCGCAACCCCCAUCGCCAGUUACCAGCAAGUCAAGUUGGGGACUCUGGCGAGACUGCCGGCGCAAGCUGUGAGGAAGGCGGGGAUGACGUCAAAUCAGCACGGCCCUUACGUCCGGGGCGACACACGUGUUACAAUGGCAGGUACAGAGAGAAGCAAUGCGGCGACGCAAAGCGGAACUUGAAAGCCUGUCUCAGUUCGGAUUGGAGUCUGCAACUCGACUCCAUGAAGCUGGAUUCGCUAGUAAUCGCGCAUCAGCCAUGGCGCGGUGAAUACGUUCCCGGGCCUUGUACACACCGCCCGUCAAGCCAUGGAAGCCGGGAGUGCCUGAAGUGUGCAACCGCAAGGAGCGCCCUAAGGUAAAACUGGUGACUGGGGCUAAGUCGUAACAA
rnacentral:rRNA from 1 species